rnacentral:rRNA from 1 species
UACGUAGGGUGCAAGCGUUGUCCGGAAUCAUUGGGCGUAAAGCGCGCGUAGGUGGCCAUUUAAGUCCGCUGUGAAAGUCAAAGGCUCAACCUUUGAAAGCCGGUGGAUACUGGAUGGCUAGAGUACGGAAGAGGCGAGUGGAAUUCCUGGUGUAGCGGUGGAAUGCGCAGAUAUCAGGAGGAACACCAAUUGCGAAGGCAGCUCGCUGGGACGUUACUGACGCUGAGACGCGAAAGCGUGGGGAGCAAACAGG